rnacentral:rRNA from 1 species
AGCCAUGCCGCGUGUGUGAAGAAGGUCUUCGGAUUGUAAAGCACUUUAAGUUGGGAGGAAGGGCAGUAAGUUAAUACCUUGCUGUUUUGACGUUACCAACAGAAUAAGCACCGGCUAACUUCGUGCCAGCAGCCGCGGUAAUACGAAGGGUGCAAGCGUUAAUCGGAAUUACUGGGCGUAAAGCGCGCGUAGGUGGUUCAGCAAGUUGGAUGUGAAAUCCCCGGGCUCAACCUGGGAACUGCAUCCAAAACUACUGAGCUAGAGUACGGUAGAGGGUGGUGGAAUUUCCUGUGUAGCGGUGAAAUGCGUAGAUAUAGGAAGGAACACCAGUGGCGAAGGCGACCACCUGGACUGAUACUGACACUGAGGUGCGAAAGCGUGGGGAGCAAACAGGAUUAGAUAC